rnacentral:rRNA from 1 species
GGAAUCUUGCGCAAUGGGCGAAAGCCUGACGCAGCAACGCCGCGUGAGGGAAGAAGGCUUUCGGGUUGUAAACCUCUUUCAGGUGGGACGAAGCUUCCAGGGUUAAUAGCCCAUGGGGUGACGGUACCUCCAGAAGAAGCCCCGGCUAACUACGUGCCAGCAGCCGCGGUAAUACGUAGGGGGCAAGCGUUGUCCGGAAUCAUUGGGCGUAAAGCGCGUGUAGGCGGCUUGAUAAGUCCGGUGUGAAACC